AUCCAGCUGACGAGUCCGAAAUAGGACGAAACACGAGUCCUGGAU
rnacentral:hammerhead_ribozyme from 1 species